rnacentral:rRNA from 1 species
UUAAGCGACUAAGCGUACACGGUGGAUGCCCUGGCAGUCAGAGGCGAUGAAGGACGUGCUAAUCUGCGAUAAGCGUCGGUAAGGUGAUAUGAACCGUUAUAACCGGCGAUUUCCGAAUGGGGAAACCCAGUGUGAUUCGUCACACUAUCAUUAACUGAAUCCAUAGGUUAAUGAGGCGAACCGGGGGAACUGAAACAUCUAAGUACCCCGAGGAAAAGAAAUCAACCGAGAUUCCCCCAGUAGCGGCGAGCGAACGGGGAGCAGCCCAGAGCCUGAAUCAGUGUGUGUGUUAGUGGAAGCGUCUGGAAAGGCGUGCGAUACAGGGUGACAGCCCCGUACACAAAAAUGCACAUGCUGUGAGCUCGAUGAGUAGGGCGGGACACGUGGUAUCCUGUCUGAAUAUGGGGGGACCAUCCUCCAAGGCUAAAUACUCCUGACUGACCGAUAGUGAACCAGUACCGUGAGGGAAAGGCGAAAAGAACCCCGGCGAGGGGAGUGAAAAAGAACCUGAAACCGUGUACGUACAAGCAGUGGGAGCACGCUUAGGCGUGUGACUGCGUACCUUUUGUAUAAUGGGUCAGCGACUUAUAUUCUGUAGCAAGGUUAACCGAAUAGGGGAGCCGAAGGGAAACCGAGUCUUAACUGGGCGUUAAGUUGCAGGGUAUAGACCCGAAACCCGGUGAUCUAGCCAUGGGCAGGUUGAAGGUUGGGUAACACUAACUGGAGGACCGAACCGACUAAUGUUGAAAAAUUAGCGGAUGACUUGUGGCUGGGGGUGAAAGGCCAAUCAAACCGGGAGAUAGCUGGUUCUCCCCGAAAGCUAUUUAGGUAGCGCCUCGUGAAUUCAUCUCCGGGGGUAGAGCACUGUUUCGGCAAGGGGGUCAUCCCGACUUACCAACCCGAUGCAAACUGCGAAUACCGGAGAAUGUUAUCACGGGAGACACACGGCGGGUGCUAACGUCCGUCGUGAAGAGGGAAACAACCCAGACCGCCAGCUAAGGUCCCAAAGUCAUGGUUAAGUGGGAAACGAUGUGGGAAGGCCCAGACAGCCAGGAUGUUGGCUUAGAAGCAGCCAUCAUUUAAAGAAAGCGUAAUAGCUCACUGGUCGAGUCGGCCUGCGCGGAAGAUGUAACGGGGCUAAACCAUGCACCGAAGCUGCGGCAGCGACGCUGAUGCGUUGUUGGGUAGGGGAGCGUUCUGUAAGCCUGCGAAGGUGUGCUGUGAGGCAUGCUGGAGGUAUCAGAAGUGCGAAUGCUGACAUAAGUAACGAUAAAGCGGGUGAAAAGCCCGCUCGCCGGAAGACCAAGGGUUCCUGUCCAACGUUAAUCGGGGCAGGGUGAGUCGACCCCUAAGGCGAGGCCGAAAGGCGUAGUCGAUGGGAAACAGGUUAAUAUUCCUGUACUUGGUGUUACUGCGAAGGGGGGACGGAGAAGGCUAUGUUGGCCGGGCGACGGUUGUCCCGGUUUAAGCGUGUAGGCUGGUUUUCCAGGCAAAUCCGGAAAAUCAAGGCUGAGGCGUGAUGACGAGGCACUACGGUGCUGAAGCAACAAAUGCCCUGCUUCCAGGAAAAGCCUCUAAGCAUCAGGUAACAUCAAAUCGUACCCCAAACCGACACAGGUGGUCAGGUAGAGAAUACCAAGGCGCUUGAGAGAACUCGGGUGAAGGAACUAGGCAAAAUGGUGCCGUAACUUCGGGAGAAGGCACGCUGAUAUGUAGGUGAAGCGACUUGCUCGUGGAGCUGAAAUCAGUCGAAGAUACCAGCUGGCUGCAACUGUUUAUUAAAAACACAGCACUGUGCAAACACGAAAGUGGACGUAUACGGUGUGACGCCUGCCCGGUGCCGGAAGGUUAAUUGAUGGGGUCAGCGCAAGCGAAGCUCUUGAUCGAAGCCCCGGUAAACGGCGGCCGUAACUAUAACGGUCCUAAGGUAGCGAAAUUCCUUGUCGGGUAAGUUCCGACCUGCACGAAUGGCGUAAUGAUGGCCAGGCUGUCUCCACCCGAGACUCAGUGAAAUUGAACUCGCUGUGAAGAUGCAGUGUACCCGCGGCAAGACGGAAAGACCCCGUGAACCUUUACUAUAGCUUGACACUGAACAUUGAGCCUUGAUGUGUAGGAUAGGUGGGAGGCUUUGAAGUGUGGACGCCAGUCUGCAUGGAGCCGACCUUGAAAUACCACCCUUUAAUGUUUGAUGUUCUAACGUGGACCCGUGAUCCGGGUUGCGGACAGUGUCUGGUGGGUAGUUUGACUGGGGCGGUCUCCUCCUAAAGAGUAACGGAGGAGCACGAAGGUUGGCUAAUCCUGGUCGGACAUCAGGAGGUUAGUGCAAUGGCAUAAGCCAGCUUGACUGCGAGCGUGACGGCGCGAGCAGGUGCGAAAGCAGGUCAUAGUGAUCCGGUGGUUCUGAAUGGAAGGGCCAUCGCUCAACGGAUAAAAGGUACUCCGGGGAUAACAGGCUGAUACCGCCCAAGAGUUCAUAUCGACGGCGGUGUUUGGCACCUCGAUGUCGGCUCAUCACAUCCUGGGGCUGAAGUAGGUCCCAAGGGUAUGGCUGUUCGCCAUUUAAAGUGGUACGCGAGCUGGGUUUAGAACGUCGUGAGACAGUUCGGUCCCUAUCUGCCGUGGGCGCUGGAGAACUGAGGGGGGCUGCUCCUAGUACGAGAGGACCGGAGUGGACGCAUCACUGGUGUUCGGGUUGUCAUGCCAAUGGCACUGCCCGGUAGCUAAAUGCGGAAGAGAUAAGUGCUGAAAGCAUCUAAGCACGAAACUUGCCCCGAGAUGAGUUCUCCCUGACUCCUUGAGAGUCCUGAAGGAACGUUGAAGACGACGACGUUGAUAGGCCGGGUGUGUAAGCGCAGCGAUGCGUUGAGCUAACCGGUACUAAUGAACCGUGAGGCUUAACCU